CGAAUACGUUUUUUUAUUAAAAAAAUCACGUUUUUUUUCGAAUUUUGGGGAAAAUACGAAUUCGGUCGUUUAAUUCGUUUUUUCAAAAAUUCGCGAGUAAUUCGCGAAUAAUUCGCAAAUUUACUAACAUAGAUCCCCCCUUCCGCCCCGAAUUUGUGACAGAGUUAAAAAAUACAUCCCAUAAUCCGCUCCGCCUUAUAACCCGCCUCCCGCCGGCGCCCCGAAUCCGCCCUGCCAACUAAUAUUUUUUAUAAAAUUAUAAUAUUAUUAAUAUUUUGUAAAAUAUAAAUUAAUAAUUUUUAAUGAUAUUAUAUUUAUAAUUUAACAAUAUUAAUUAUAAAAAUAAAAAAUAGCAAUUACAAUUCAAAACAAAAUUCAAAAAUUUCAAAUACAUUAGAAAUGAUGAGAGUGCUAAUUUAUUUUUAUUUUGAACUUUUUUUGUAAAUACAUUAAUUUUUAGGAAUAUUUUUUAAAAUAUAAAUAAUUUUCGGGGCAGAUUCGGGGCGGAUCAUGGCGGGACGGAUUCGGAGCGGGUCAAAAUUUUUCCCGCUCCCUGCCCCAAAUCCGUCUUUUUCCGCCCCGAAUCCGUUUAUUUUCUCCUAUUUACUCCCCUCGUCUGGGCGAAUCAGGGUGGGAGCUCCACCAACUCGGAUUCGUUUGUAUUCCUAGUGAAGGGCUGAGUCGGGGCUUUUUUUUGCAUCUAGCACCCUACAGAAAAUUUAUUUUAAAAAUAGCCCCAGCAAAUUUAUAUGUGUAUUUUUGGUCCUGACCCUUCCAAGCAGAUGCCACGUCAGCGCCACGCGAGCGGGGCUAGGUCAAGGUGUUAAGUUGAACACGGUAAACCAUUCAGCAUGUCCAAACACGGUAAAUAAUUUACCGUGUCUGGAGAAAAUAUGUAUUAUUUGCAAUAUAAAUAUUGAAAAGAGAAAUAGAGAGUAAGGAUGUCAAUGGGUAUGGAUAUCCAGAAUAUUAUCCGAACCUAAACCCAAAUAAAUUAUUUAUAUGCAUAAUUUAUUUUUAUUUAUUUAUACAAUAUAUAAAAUAUUUAAUAAUUUAUAUAAAAUUCGCCGAGUUCAGGUCCGGGUUCGGGUUUCGGGUUUUUGGUCGGGUAUGGAUAUCGGUAUGGAUUUUUAAAACCCGCCGGGUUUGAAUUCGGGUUCGAGUUUUAAUUUUAUUUUCGAAUUCGGGUUCGGGUUUUUGAAAACACGAUCCAAACCUGACCCGUUGACAUCUCUAAUAAAGAAGAAGAGGAAUAUAAAUAUAAAACAAGGUGAACCAUUCACCGUGUUUGAUUCACCGUAUUCAACUUGCCAGGCUCCCAACCCGCCCACCUGGUGCUUGCGUGGCACCUGUGUGGCAGGGAUAGGACUAUUUUUGUAAUUAUAAAUUUAUUGGGGCUAGUUUUAAAAUAAAAUUUUUUCGGUGGGCCAUUUGCAGAAAAAAGCCCGCUGAGUCGUCUAGUCAGCCGUUUUUUUUUAAAUAACCCUAUAAAAUUUCUUAAUGAAAUAAAUAAUUUUAUAAAAAUAUAAUUGGCAAACUAACUCUCUUUUUACCAUAUAGGAUUCAAGAUGAAAUUUUCUCUAUAUAGGAGUCAAGAUAAAAUUUUCUCUUAAUGACGUCUACUGUCUUCAUGAAAGCGGUAAAUGAUUCACUGUCUAUCUAAUUUUCUAUAAAAGCGAUGAUUCAUUCACGGUCUUUCUCUUUCUCUCUAUUUCUCAUAUAAACAUAACAACCAAAUAAAAAUUUCAACAAAUCUGAUACAAUCUUAACAACAACAAAAAUUGGGGAAACUUCAAAUACCACCCGUGGUUUCGCACUUUCUCACUUUAGUACCCUGUGGUUUCAAGUGUAUUAAGCUAGUACCCUAUGGUUUCACACUUUCUCACUUUAAUACCCUGUAGUUUCAAGUGUAUCAAAUUAGUACCGUGUGGUUUCAUUUUUGUAUCAAGUUAGUACCCAGCAGUUUUAAUUUUUUCUUUUUAUUAUUCAUUUCAGGGUAUAUAAUUUAACAAAAUAUUAAACCAUAGGGUACUAAAGUGAGAAAGUGUGAAACCACAGGGUACUAACUUGAUACACUUGAAACUACAGGGUACUAAAAUGAGAAGGUACGAAACCAUAGGGUACUAACUUGAUACACUUUAACCACAGGGUACUAAAGUGAGAAAGUACGAAACCAUAUGGGGGUAUUUGAAGUUUCCCCAAAAAAAUUAUAAUAAUCUAUUUAUAUAAUUAUAAUAAUCAAAUAAAAAUUCUAAUAAUCCAUAUAUAAUACUAACAACCUCACUUUUUUUUUAUUUCCCAUAUAUAAUCCUAAUCACCAUAUAAAAAUGGAAAAGUCUAGCUGGACUCCUUUAGGAAGUUGUACAUCCUACACCCUUGGGAUCCGACGGCUGAUAUUUGGGCACUAGCACAGUAGCAGCUAAGUUCACUCUCAUUUUUAUUUCUUGCUAAAGCUAACCCAAACCCUACUACUACACUUCUCUCUCCCGCACACCUCCCUCUCGCUAUCUCUGUUUCUCGCUCUCUCUUGCUCCCUCAUCUCUCUCUCGCUCCCUCGCCUCUCUCUUGCUUUCUUGCUCUCCUCUCUUUCUCUCUCGCUUACAGGGCACUCGAUCUGGCAGAAGUUCGGCGGCGCUCAUUCCACACAUUAUCUUCCUCGGCAGAAGCUCCUAUCCCAAGCCGUCUCGAAGGUGUCUCUCGCCCUCGCCUCUCUCCAUUGGUAGGAGGUCGCCUC
rnacentral:lncRNA from 1 species